UACGGGGGGGGGUAAGCGUUGUCCGGAAUUAUUGGGCGUAAAGAGCUCGUAGGCGGCUUGUCACGUCGAUUGUGAAAGCCCGAGGCUUAACCUCGGGUCUGCAGUCGAUACGGGCUAGCUAGAGUGUGGUAGGGGAGAUCGGAAUUCCUGGUGUAGCGGUGAAAUGCGCAGAUAUCAGGAGGAACACCGGUGGCGAAGGCGGAUCUCUGGGCCAUUACUGACGCUGAGGAGCGAAAGCGUGGGGAGCGAACAGG
rnacentral:rRNA from 1 species